rnacentral:misc_RNA from 1 species
UUGAAUAAACUUGGUUGGGUUGCUGCUGGCUCUUAGGAGCAUGUGCACACUCAUUCCAUUUUUUUAACCACCUGUGCACACUUUGUAGGCCUGAAUGAACUAUUUCGAGGAAACUCGGUUUGAGAACUGCUUGGCUGUUCUUGCAUUCCMGGUCUAUGUUUUUAAACAAUAUACUCUAAUAACAAGUAACAGAAWGUUAAUUUAUUGGCCUUCAGUGCCUUUUAAAAAUCUAAUACAACUUUCAACAACGGAUCUCUUGGSUCUCGCAUCGAUGAAGAACGCAGCGAAAUGCGAUAAGUAAUGUGAAUUGCAGAAWUCAGUGAAUCAUCGAAUCUUUGAACGCACCYUGCGCUCCUUGGUAUUYCGAGGAGCAUGCCUGUUUGAGUGUCAUGAAAUUCUCAACCUUUUCUGGCUUUUGUAUGAGCUGGUCAGGCUUGGAUUGUGGGAGCUGCUGGUUUUCUUCUGAAACCAGCUCUUCUUAAACGCAUUAGCAAAAAUUCUUGCUGAACCAUCUUUGGUAUGAUAAUUAUCUAUAUCAUUGAUAAAACAGCUUCCACUUUAAUGGUUUUCAGGCUCCACUUGGAUUGCUUUGUCUCCCAAGUGUUCGAUUCAACCGCUCUGAAGCACCAGCUUGUUUUGGCACAGACGUUAACUCGUUUGAUGGUGUUGUAAUCUUCAGGUUGACGAAGCGAGGCGUUUCUUAGGAGGCGCUCACGAGAGCAAGCAUGCACUUUCCAGUGUGUGCACUGUCAUAUUCCUGUACCUACCCUAGCUACUAUGUGGCUUUGAUGGGUCUGGUCAAACCAUGACCUGAACAUAUCCUUAGUGGGAGGAUUUUGCUUCUAAUAUUUUGCUACCCUCUAGGGAAACAAAAAACCUUUGACAA